UUAAUUCCACUAUCUGUAGGUUUGCAGAAGUUUUACCUACUUAGCUAGCAAAAACAAGAUGUCAGUCUGCUAUGAAUCAUUGACACUAAUAAUUGAACAUCCAGCUGAUGGUUGGAAAUGUACUACUUUGAUCAUUUGGGGGAUCUAAAGGAUAUUUCAGCUUCACAAGCAGCUAAUCAUGUGCUAUACUGUAUGUAGAACAAACUGGAGAAUGGUAACGUGAAAGAUAUGUUCAAAGCGGGAACUAUUCAACUGGGAGUGUGCAAGAGCUGUAACACUGUUAUUUUCUGCAAGAGAGUAUCCAGCUAGUUGAAACAGGAUUUGUGCUGGUUGACAAUGCUGGAUUAAUUCCAGGACAUACAUGAGCUUAAUUUGUCAUUCAUUCUAGGAAUGCAUAAGAAUAAAACAUCAGAUGCAUUAUGGACAAGUUGUAUAAAUUGAAAUGUCUUCUGAAUGAUGUAGAAGAAUGACAUGUUCUAGAAACUGGAUGUUGUGUAUAACGAAAUUUUUGCCCAUCUAAUAUGCAAUCUUAAAGUUACAAAAAAAAAUAGCAAUAAUAAAAAACGUUGUAAAGGAAUUCUUUAUACACUAUCUGAACAAAACUGUUAUAGAGGAAAAUUGCUUAAUCAAUUUACAUUUUCAGCUUUAACAACUCACAAUUAUUAUUAUCAUAAGAAUGUCUGUUUUAGCAGUCAUCAUUUUAACACUUUUAAAAGGAAGGCAUUAUCUAGUAAAAUUCUUUUCCCAAGCUGUUACUGACAUUGCCUUUAAAAAUACUCUGGAAAACCUUGGGAAAGCAAUUUGAAUGACCAGAGAGAAUCCCUUGAGUGCCAUAUGGUUAAUGGAAAAGCCAGAAGACUUCACUGUUUGUGUUUCUUGUGUAGUUUUGGUCCUGGCUCUUUUUCCUAACCUCAUCAAUUAAGGUAAUCUGUGCUAGGAACAGGCAUCAACUAAAUCAGGCAGUUAACCACACAUAAGUAGCACACACAUUGUAACUUAUCAGUCAGGAUCAUCUCACCUUCCGAGAUGUUUUAUCUGAUUAUGGAGAAAAUGCCUUCCAUAACUGUAAUUUAAAGAAAAACAACACAAAAUGAGUCACAGUUUGUAAGUGUUAAUAAGAAUACAUUAUGCAGCCAAACUCUCCUUGUGUUGUGUUUGCAAAAAGACCACACUGCUUCUGCCGUUCCACAUUUAUUUUAUUUUUUUUGGCAGGGAUGGCCUUCUCAUUGUGUUCUAAAGUUUACUAACUUGGGAAAGAAUUUCAAAGUUGGAAUGGCCCUUUUGAAAGCAGGCUAGAAGCAAUGCCCCCAUUUAGAUAGCAAAUUUAUUUCCCUUAUUAUCUCUGGUAAGAUAAGCAUGACAUAAAGCAGUCCAACCAGGACUGAAUGAGGAGGCAGGCCUCCAAUGAGUGUAGACUGUGCUUUAAGAAAGCAUCUCUGCUGCCACUGAAUCCGGUUUUUGUAUGUAAUCUUUGUGCAAAAUCACAUCAUUUGUGUGUUCCAUACUUUGUACUUCUUAAAACUAGAAUUAUUAGAUUAUUGGAGUUAUUAGAUUUCUUUAACAAGUUACCCACUGGUUGCUUCUGGCCAUAAUAGCUGAAGUUAAUGUCAUGGCCUGAUAUCUUGGGAUGAAGGUGCUAUGGAGUAUGAACUUUUAUUUUCCUCUUUUGUGGAGUGAAAAGAGUACAAAAAUUAUGGCUAAAGUAAACCUAUGUAUGUAAAUACUAUAGAAUAUACUUCAUGCAUAGUGGCUAUAGCCCACUUAGCACAUCAUGCUGGAGGGCUG